CGGCAGCACGGAGCUUGCUCUGGUGGCGAGUGGCGAACGGUUGAGUAAUAUAUCGGAACGUGCCCAAGAGUGUGGGGAUAACGCAGCGAAAGUUGUGCUAAUACCGCACACGAUCUACGGAUGAAAGCAGGGGAUCGCAAGACCUUGUGCUCCUGGAGCGGCCGAUAUCUGAUUAGCUAGUUGGUAGGGUAAAGGCCUACCAAGGCAUCGAUCAGUAGCUGGUCUGAGAGGACGACCAGCCACACUGGGACUGAGACACGGUCCAGACUCCUACGGGAGGCAGCAGUGGGGAAUUUUGGACAAUGGGCGAAAGCCUGAUCCAGCAAUGCCGCGUGCAGGAUGAAGGCCUUCGGGUUGUAAACUGCUUUUGUACGGAACGAAACGGUCUUUUCUAAUAAAGAGGGCUAAUGACGGUACCGUAAGAAUAAGCACCGGCUAACUACGUGCCAGCAGCCGCGGUAAUACGUAGGGUGCGAGCGUUAAUCGGAAUUACUGGGCGUAAAGCGUGCGCAGGCGGUGAUGUAAGACAGAUGUGAAAUCCCCGGGCUCAACCUGGGACCUGCAUUUGUGACUGCAUCGCUAGAGUACGGUAGAGGGGGAUGGAAUUCCGCGUGUAGCAGUGAAAUGCGUAGAUAUGCAGAGGAACACCGAUGGCGAAGGCAAUCCCCUGGACCUGUACUGACGCUCAUGCACGAAAGCGUGGGGAGCGAACA
rnacentral:rRNA from 1 species